CGCAUGGAGAUGACGCCACCAGUCUUAUAAAUAUAGCCCUGUUCGUUCGUCACAUCCUCUUUCCGUUGCUCUUCUCGCUUUGAGACUCCUCUCCACACGAUGAGAGCUAAGUGGAGGAAGAAGCGCAUGCGCAGGCUGAAGCGUAAAAGGAGAAAGAUGAGGCAGAGGUCAAAGUAAGCCCUCAUCCUGCCAGCUGUGGCCCUGUCGGAUGCGUUUGACUGCUGAGACUAAAGUGGAUGCCCGGUGCUGCCAACUUGACCCACCCUCAUGGCUCCCCGAUGACCACCCGGCUGUUAGUCUGCAAGCUGACCCUGGCCGACCUGGGAUUCUACAUCAGAGCUGCGGCUGUUUGGUUCAUGGACCAUAACGUGUACUGGCAACUGUCAUGUGGUGUAUUGAACAAUAAAUGAACACUGUUUCAAA